rnacentral:rRNA from 1 species
CAAUAGCGUAUAUUUAAGUUGUUGCAGUUAAAAAGCUCGUAGUUGGAUUUCUGCUGAUCGCUGUCGGUCUGCCGUCAGGUGUGUACUGGCAGUGUUUGGCAUCUAUUCGAGAUUGGGUGUCCACUUGAUUGUGUGCACUCGAUGUCGGAGCUAAUACUUUGAGAAAAUUAGAGUGUUCCACGCAGGCGCGUGCCUUGAAUACUGCAGCAUGGGAUAUUGGAAGGCCGAUUGAGCUUUCUUGUUGGUUCUCGGUUUGAUCGGAAUGAUUAAUAGGGAUAGUUGGGGGCAUUCGUAUUCAACUGUCAGAGGUGAAAUUCUUGGAUUUGUUGAAGACGGACUACUGCGAAAGCAUUUGCCAAGGAUGUUUUCAUUGA